AUGGCGACCGGCGCACGGGUGAGUAACACGUAUCCAACCUGCCGUCUACUCUUGGACAGCCUUCUGAAAGGAAGAUUAAUACAAGAUGGCAUCAUGAGUCCGCAUGUUCACAUGAUUAAAGGUAUUCCGGUAGACGAUGGGGAUGCGUUCCAUUAGAUAGUAGGCGGGGUAACGGCCCACCUAGUCUUCGAUGGAUAGGGGUUCUGAGAGGAAGGUCCCCCACAUUGGAACUGAGACACGGUCCAAACUCCUACGGGAGGCAGCAGUGAGGAAUAUUGGUCAAUGGGCGAGAGCCUGAACCAGCCAAGUAGCGUGAAGGAUGACUGCCCUAUGGGUUGUAAACUUCUUCUAUAAAGGAAUAAAGUCGGGUAUGGAUACCCGUUUGCAUGUACUUUAUGAAUAAGGAUCGGCUAACUCCGUGCCAGCAGCCGCGGUAAUACGGAGGAUCCGAGCGUUAUCCGGAUUUAUUGGGUUUAAAGGGAGCGUAGAUGGAUGUUUAAGUCAGUUGUGAAAGUUUGCGGCUCAACCGUAAAAUUGCAGUUGAUACUGGAUAUCUUGAGUGCAGUUGAGGCAGGCGGAAUUCGUGGUGUAGCGGUGAAAUGCUUAGAUAUCACGAAGACUCCGAUUGCGAAGGCAGCCUGCUAAGCUG
rnacentral:rRNA from 1 species